rnacentral:rRNA from 1 species
GACGAACGCUGGCGGCGUGCUUAACACAUGCAAGUCGAGCGGAAAGGCCACUUCGGUGGUACUCGAGCGGCGAACGGGUGAGUAACACGUGAGUAAUCUGCCCUUGGCUUUGGGAUAGCCACCGGAAACGGUGAUUAAUACCGGAUAUGACCACUUCUCGCAUGGGAUGGUGGUGGAAAGUUUUUUCGGCCAGGGAUGUGCUCGCGGCCUAUCAGCUUGAUGGUGAGGUAAUGGCUCACCAUGGCUUCGACGGGUAGCCGGCCUGAGAGGGUGACCGGUCACACUGGGACUGAGACACGGCCCAGACUCCUACGGGAGGCAGCAGUGGGGAAUAUUGGACAAUGGGCGGAAGCCUGAUCCAGCAACGCCGCGUGAGGGAUGACGGCCUUCGGGUUGUAAACCUCUUUCAGCAGGGACAAAGCGCAAGUGACGGUACCUGCAGAAGAAGCACCGGCCAACUACGUGCCAGCAGCCGCCGUAAUAC